AUUGAACGCUGGCGGCAUGCCUUACACAUGCAAGUCGAACGGCAGCACGGGUGCUUGCACCUGGUGGCGAGUGGCGAACGGGUGAGUAAUACAUCGGAACAUGUCCUGUAGUGGGGGAUAGCCCGUCGAAAGCCGGAUUAAUACCGCAUACGAUCUACGGAUGAAAGCGGGGGACCUUCGGGCCUCGCGCUAUAGGGUUGGCCGAUGGCUGAUUAGCUAGUUGGUGGGGUAAUGGCCUACCAAGGCGACGAUCAGUAGCUGGUCUGAGAGGACGACCAGCCACACUGGGACUGAGACACGGCCCAGACUCCUACGGGAGGCAGCAGUGGGGAAUUUUGGACAAUGGGCGAAAGCCUGAUCCAGCAAUGCCGCGUGUGUGAAGAAGGCCUUCGGGUUGUAAAGCACUUUUGUCCGGAAAGAAAUCCUUGGCCCUAAUACGGUCGGGGGAUGACGGUACCGGAAGAAUAAGCACCGGCUAACUACGUG
rnacentral:rRNA from 1 species